rnacentral:rRNA from 1 species
UACGUAGGAUGCAAGCGUUGUCCGGAAUUAUUGGGCGUAAAGAGCGCGCAGGCGGUCUAUCAAGUCAGAUGUGAAAUAUCCGGGCUUAACCCGGAGGGGUCAUUUGAAACUGGUAGACUAGAGUACAGCAGAGGAUAGCGGAAUUCCCGGUGUAGUGGUGAAAUGCGCAGAUAUCAGGAGGAACACCGGUGGCGAAGGCGGGUCUCUGGGCCGUAACUGACGCUGAGGAGCGAAAGCAUGGGGAGCGAACAGG